UACAGAGGGUGCAAGCGUUGCUCGGAAUCAUUGGGCGUAAAGGGUGCGUAGGUGGCGCCAUAAGUCAGGUGUGAAAUCUCGGGGCUCAACCUCGAAACUGCACUUGAUACUGUGGUGCUUGAGUACUGGAGAGGAGAUUGGAAUUUACGGUGUAGCAGUGAAAUGCGUAGAUAUCGUAAGGAAGACCAGUGGCGAAGGCGAAUCUCUGGACAGUUACUGACACUGAGGCACGAAGGCCAGGGGAGCAAACGGG
rnacentral:rRNA from 1 species